rnacentral:rRNA from 1 species
UACGAAGGGGGCUAGCGUUGUUCGGAAUUACUGGGCGUAAAGCGUGCGCAGGCGGCUUCUCAAGUCAGGGGUGAAAGCCCAGCAGCUCAACUCUGGAAUUGCCUUUGACGACUGAGUGGCUUGAGUACGAGAGAGGUGAGUGGAAUUCCCAGUGUAGAGGUGAAAUUCGUAGAUAUUGGGAAGAACACCGGUGGCGAAGGCGGCUGCACUGGCUCGUAACUGACGCUCAUGCACGACAGCGUGGGGAUCAAACAGG